rnacentral:rRNA from 1 species
AUUGAACGCUGGCGGCAGGCUUAACACAUGCAAGUCGAGCGAGCGGCGGACGGGUGAGUAAUGUAUGGGGACUGCCCGAUAGAGGGGGAUAACUCCUGGAAACGGUAGCUCAUACCCCACAUUCUCGCAUAAUCCAUAUGGGAUUAGCUAGUAGGUGGGUUAAUGGCUCUCCUCGGCGACGAUCCCUAGCUGGUGUGAGAGGAUGAUCCGCCACACUGGAACUGAGACACGGACCAGACGCCUACGGAGGCAGCAGUGGGGAAUAUUGCACAAUGGGCGCAAGCCUGAUGCAGCCAUGCCGCGUGGAGGAAGAAGGCCAUAGGGUUGUAAAGUACUGUCAGUCGGGAGGCGUUACCGACAGAAGAAGCACCGGCUAACUCCGUGCCAGCAGCCGCGGUAAUUC